rnacentral:lncRNA from 1 species
GAGGGCUGGGGUCCUGGUCCCCCCCCCAGCACUGCCGACCCCUCCCCUUCCCUUACAGCCAUGCCCAGGCCCGCAGGAGCCGGGACAGCCCCGAGCAGCGGACGGGGACGGGACCGAGCGCAGCCGUGAGCGUGGCGGUGCCGGCCCCUCCAACCCGUGCUCAGGGCUGGGGGGGGGGCUGCAGGGCCAGGACCCCCUGCCCCGGCUGCCCACGGGUCCCGGAGCUCAGCCCCUGCUGCAGCGGGGUGCCCCCAGGGCUGCGGGGUGCCCCUGGCCAGCAUGACCAGAAGGGGCCAGCGUGGCCGGAUCCUGGUUUUGGCACAGUCCCUUGUGGGGCCAGACAGACCUCGGGGGAGCUCCUGGGAUCAAAUCAACCCCUCCGAGUUCAUCCUCAGAGGCACCCCGAGACCCGUGCAGCAGGACCGGGACCCCCGUGCGGGGGCAGCUCCGGGAAGCGGGGCGGAAGGCUCGGCCCUGCUCCCCCCCCGGCUCGCCCAGCUGCGCGCUUCCAGAUGUGCGGCCGCCCACCCGCAGCUCCCGGGCGGCCGCGGCCGGGUCCCUGCCCCUGCGCCCCCACACAGCACCGGGGCCGUGCGGGGGCUCAGCCCAGCCCAUCCUGCCCAGCUGGGGGGGCCACGCUGCCCACCCCCGGCCCGAGCACUUUGCCCACCCCGAGCCAUCCGAGCCCCUCGGCACGGUUCCCGGCAGCGCACGGAGGCAGCAGGCACAGGACACGGGACACGGGACAUGGGACACAGGACACGGGACACGGGACAUGGGACAAGGGACACUGCUGCCACCCUGUUACUGCCAUCAGCACUGGUUUUAGCCAGGUUGGGCCGGGUGGGAGCCCCCCACAGGGCUGGCACUGCCCCCCCUCCCCAUUGGGGCUCUGCUGGCACUUCCAGGCAGGGGGGAGCGGACAGAAAUUUUGUAAAUAAAGGGAAAGAAAAAAAAAAAACCACACCACUCCCCCCACACCCUCGUCCCUGCCCCAUCCGCACCCCCUCGCAGGGUGGCCGUGCCCCCCGUCCCCCUGCCACAGCUGAGGUGACGCCUCCGUGCCCAGCCUGUGCCCCCCGCACCGUCCCCUCCUCCGGAGCUGGGACCCCACCGGCUGCCCCCACCUGUCCCCAGCCACCAGUGCUGGCCCCUGUCCCCAGCCCAGCCUCGAGGCCAGGGGGCUGGGGACGGGGUCACGCAGCGCUGGGGACGGGGUGGCCGGGAUGGGGUGGCCACAUUGGGGUCCUGGUGCCCCCCAGGGUGGUGGCACGGGGCGGGCGGUGCAGGCUGGCUCGGAGGGGGGGGCUUUUUGAAACAGAAAUAAAAAAGGACUUGCAGAAAGGCAGCGGCUCAGCAGGGUCUGUGGGUGGGGAGGGGGCUGCCUUGCACCAACCCUGGGGCAGGGAGAGCUCAUGGGGGUCCUGGGGUCAUGGAGAGAGGGACUGGGACAGGGACUGGGAGGCUCUGGAAGGUGCUGGAGCCUGGUGCCACGGUGGGGCUGGGGGCCGCAGGCUGACCCUGCCCGGGGGGGG